UCUUUGGGAGGUUUAGGUAGGGUAGAUCUAGAAGGUUCAUCCGACAAAACGCAACAAAUCUGUGCAGCAUUUCAAACAUCAGACAGAUUACAGGAUACAGGGAAAUUCCUCACACAGUUGUAAGGUUCUGGUGGGGGAGGAAAGCCGGAGUUCCCGGAGAAAAACCACCAACCUACGGCCAGUAACUAGCGACUGCCCUACGUAGGCUGCAGCCCAAUGAUUGAGGGCUAGUGCUAGCAGAAUGUCAGAUGAUGAGGGCAAAUACAUAUCAAAGUAAUGUGCUGGCACAAGCGGCAGCGCGACGGUCUACUGACCUCAAUGUCAUGGCAACUGGAUCUGACGUACGAAGUUUCAUCUACAUUUUUUUGGACAACGGAUACCAGUUAUGUAAGGGAAAUAUAGAGGAAAUAUUUGCUGGUGGGAAACUCUCCGAAACUCUUAUUAAAAUGGCGGCAUAUG